CUACGGGGUGCUGCAGUGGGGAAUAUUGCACAAUGGGCGCAAGCCUGAUGCAGCCAUGCCGCGUGUAUGAAGAAGGCCUUCGGGUUGUAAAGUACUUUCAGCGGGGAGGAAGGGAGUAAAGUUAAUACCUUUGCUCAUUGACGUUACCCGCAGAAGAAGCACCGGCUAACUCCGUGCCAGCAGCCGCGGUAAUACGGAGGGUGCAAGCGUUAAUCGGAAUUACUGGGCGUAAAGCGCACGCAGACGGUUUGUUAAGUCAGAUGUGAAAUCCCCGGGCUCAACCUGGGAACUGCAUCUGAUACUGGCAAGCUUGAGCCUCGUAGAGGGGGGUAGAAUUCCAGGUGUAGCGGUGAAAUGCGUAGAGAUCUGGAGGAAUACCGGUGGCGAAGGCGGCCCCCUGGACGAAGACUGACGCUCAGGUGCGAAAGCGUGGGGAGCAAACAGGAUUAGAUACCCUAGUAGUC
rnacentral:rRNA from 1 species